rnacentral:rRNA from 1 species
UGAACGCUGGCGGCGUGCUUAACACAUGCAAGUCGAACGAAGCACCUCUCCCGAAGAUUGACACAGCUUGCUGUAGAUUGAUUCAUUUGAGGUGACUGAGUGGCAGACGGGUGAGUAACGCGUGGGUAACCUGCCUCAUAGAGGGGGACAACAGUUGGAAACGACUGCUAAUACCGCAUAGUAAGAAGAAUUCGCAUGUUUUCUUCUUGAAAGAUUUAUCGCUAUGAGAUGGACCCGCGUCUGAUUAGCUAGUUGGUAAGGUAACGGCUUACCAAGGCGACGAUCAGUAGCCGGCUUGAGAGAGUGAACGGCCACAUUGGGACUGAGACACGGCCCAAACUCCUACGGGAGGCAGCAGUGGGGAAUAUUGCACAAUGGGGGAAACCCUGAUGCAGCGACGCCGCGUGAGUGAAGAAGUAUUUCGGUAUGUAAAGCUCUAUCAGCAGGGAAGAUAAUGACGGUACCUGACUAAGAAGCCCCGGCUAACUACGUG